GCGUUGUUGGGGGCUGGGGAGGAUUUACGGCUCUAACGCCUUCUGUAUAACGCUUUAACGGCGGGCAGAGCGGUUUCUGUUGCGUCCCGUCCUGUACUUUUCACACCCACCUGUGAGAAUGGGAAUAAUCCACAUGAGAGUUACUCCUUCUGCCUGGGCCCGGGAAUGAGAAGACCUGUGGAGCCAAGCUGCCGCUUACCCACAACCUGCAUAUACAUAAAUCAGAAGCCAGCAUUGGUUGUUGUGAGUCCCUUAGAUUUGGGGGUAGGUUGUGAUUGCAGCAAAGCUGAAUAAAAGCUACAGUUGGAGGCCAGGCGUGGUGGCUCGCUCCUGUAAUCCCAGCACUUUGGGAGGCUGAGGUGGGUGGAUCACUUGAGGUCAGGAGUUCAAGACCAGCCUGGCCAACUGGCGAAACCCUGUUUCUACCAAAAAAUACAAAAAUUAGCCAGGUGUGGUGGCACGUGCCUGUAAUCCCGGCUACUUGGGAGGCUGAGGCAGCAGAACCGCUUGAACCUAGGAGGCAGAGGUUGCAGUGAGCCAGGGUGGUACCACUGUACUCCAGCCUGGGCAACAGAGUGACACUGUGUCUCAAAAAACAAAACACAACAACAACAGCAACAACAAAAAGAAGCUACAGUUGGAUAAUUGGACAAUGGAAGAUAAAAUUGGAAAGACAGACUUAAGCCAGAGUAUAGAGAGUUUUGAAUGUCAGCUUGAUGAAGAUGACCUUAGGCACAGUGACUCUGAAGGCCACAUAUUAAAGACAGUGGAGCCACAGGAUGGAAGGAAGCUGGUUCCCUGAAUCAUCACUUGGCAGAGAGCUGACCACUAAUCAGGAUCAUGUGUUUUAGAUUUCACUUGACCAAUAAAUCAAUUUCAAUUUUUGUUACACUGCUAAAAUGUGGGGUUUAUUUUUUAUAGUAGCUACUGUUUUCCUAAUCAAUACAUCAUGUGCAAAGGUUUGGACUUCACUCCCAUCAGGAAUGGGAAGUUAGUCACUGAAGAUUUUUUGAAAAAGGGGAAUAAUACUGUGAAGACAGGUGGAAGUUACAGUUAUUGGGAUCAAAGAAUUCUGAGUGAGAGUGGGAGAUUUGGGGACUGUUCUUUUUUUUUCAGAAUAUAGUUUAACUCUUGUCUGGGGAAGGGAGAUGACUGCCAUGAUUGUCGAAGGGCUCCAUAGAACUGGGGAAGGAGCUGCUGAAAAAUAAAUCCAUUUCCCUGAAA